CUUGUACUCCCUUCGUUCGAAAAUACUUGUCGAAGAAAUGGAUGCAUCUACACGUAUUUUAGUUCUAGAUACAUCUAAUUUUAUCUGUUUUUCUGACAAUUAUUUUUGGACAGAGGGAGUAUCUU
rfam:Hordeum vulgare subsp. vulgare, WGS project CAJW01000000 data, contig: morex_contig_48313